rnacentral:tRNA from 1 species
AUUUAUGUAGUUUAAUAAAAACCCCUCAUUUUCAAUGAGAAAAUAAGAUUUAAUCUUUAUAAAUA